UACAUUUAAGUAUAAGUUGUACAGAAAUUUUUGAUAUUUCAAGGGGCGGUUAAAUUCCGUUAGAUGUAA
rnacentral:tRNA from 1 species